CAUCUUCGGCCUGCUGCGGGCAGAUCCAAUGGAUGUGCGCAUCGAUGCCGCCAGCGGUCAGGAUCCGCCCUUCGCCGGCGAUUGCCUCUGUGCCGGGGCCGAUGACGAUGGUAACGCCCGGCUGGAUGUCCGGAUUGCCGGCCUUGCCGAUGCCGGCGACGCGGCCGUCACGAAUGCCGACAUCGGCCUUGACGAUGCCCCAGUGGUCGACGAUCAGCGCGUUGGUGAUCACCGUGUCGACGGCGCCGGCAGCGCGGGAUGCCUGGCUCUGGCCCAUGCCGUCGCGAAUG
rnacentral:sRNA from 1 species